GCGGGUAUGAUGAAAUUGGUAAACAUGCUGGAUUUAGGUUCCAGUGCCGCAAGGCUUGUGGGUUCGAGUCCCACUACCCGUACCA
rnacentral:tRNA from 4 species